rnacentral:rRNA from 1 species
UACGGGGGGGGCAAGCGUUGUUCGGAAUUACUGGGCGUAAAGGGCUCGUAGGCGGCCAACUAAGUCACACGUGAAAUCCCCAGGCUUAACCUGGGAACUGCGUGUGAUACUGAAUGGCUUGAAUUCGGGAGAGGGAUGCAGAAUUCCAGGUGUAGCGGUGAAAUGCGUAGAUAUCUGGAGGAAUACCGGUGGCGAAGGCGGCAUCCUGGACCGACAUUGACGCUGAUGAGCGAAAGCUAGGGGGAGCAAACGGG